CUGGUUCUUGAAAAAAAGUCUUUUUUGACUCAGUCACUCAGGCCUGAUGUCCUAAUUUUUUUUACUACAUGGUACGGUAGUAAUAAGUACCAAACAGCUAUAUAUCCAGUAGUCAUGCAUUCACGGAUUUACUGGUGAACAUGAUCUGUCAUUUAAAUCAGGCAUGAUGUCCUAAGUUUUGCUUCAUGUGUUGCAGGUGUUGCCUACACUUCUUGACCGUCUAUCAAGGAAUUCAGGCUAAAGAAGCUACAGAAUCAGCUUUUAAGGAUGGAAAACAGCUAUUGCAGGACUACCAUCUGUACCAGGUUCCACAUAGAUGUUGUUUGUCAGGUGAAAAGGUCCUGGUUUGUUUCUGUUCAGCUGAUGGCGAGGGUGAAAUUGAGAUGACAGGAAGCAUGCUUCUCAUUACAGAAUUAUGUGAUCACUUUGUACCUACAGAGAAAGCGACCCAUACAAAAAAGUACGUCUUUCUGUGCAUUCUUAUGUUUAUUUGUAUCUAUACUACAUUGUUUUAAUCGGCGAGCGAGUUCUCAUGGCUUGCUGUAUGGCGGCCGUGAUGCAUCGGCGAAUUUCACUCGUGCUUUCUCUAUUUGCAUUCAGAUAUCACGUAUUUAUCGUGUACAAGCACACCAAUA